CUCUUAUUAAGAGCGAUGGAGGCAUAGGGGCCUAUGAAGUCGCGGCAACCUCCUUGAAUAGGAAGGUGCCGACCCAAGCGAGUUUAACUCGAGCAAUAAGAG
rnacentral:ncRNA from 2 species